GACGAACGCUGGCGGCGUGCCUAAUACAUGCAAGUCGAACGAGAGCGACCGGUGCUUGCCCUGGUCAAUCUAGUGGCGAACGGGUGAGUAACACGUGGGUAACCUGCCCAUCAGAGGGGGAUAACAUCCGGAAACGGAUGCUAAAACCGCAUAGGUCUUCGAGCCGCAUGGCUUGAAGAGGAAAAGAGGCGCAAGCUUCUGCUGAUGGAUGGACCCGCGGUGCAUUAGCUAGUUGGUGAGGUAACGGCUCACCAAGGCCGUGAUGCAUAGCCGACCUGAGAGGGUGAUCGGCCACAUUGGGACUGAGACACGGCCCAAACUCCUACGGGAGGCAGCAGUAGGGAAUCUUCCGCAAUGGACGCAAGUCUGACGGAGCAACGCCGCGUGAGUGAAGAAGGUUUUCGGAUCGUAAAACUCUGUUGUUAGUGAAGAACAAGUGCUAGAGUAACUGUUAGCGCCUUGACGGUAUCUAACCAGAAAGCCACGGCUAACUACGUG
rnacentral:rRNA from 1 species